UGCCUGAGCAUUUCCCAAAUUAGGAUUUCCAGUUCGUGCUGAACGGGGUGCUGGAUUUUUAAUUUCAAAAUCCUCUAAUUCAACCUCAGGAAUUGUAAGAGGUGGAGUGUCUAAUUUCUUAAUAUAUCCACUUUUAAGAGAAGACUCUUUAAUUGGGACAGUUACUAGAACUUUGGACCUUGGUGGUACAAUAACAGAAGAAGUUCGUUCAAGUGGAAUUUCAACAUCUCCAAUUUUGAAAAUAUUAGGAAAACUAUCACUUAUAAUUUGGAAUUUAUUAUUUACAUUCUGAAUAGGAAUGAUAACCUCUCCCUGAGUUGGCACGGAUCCAAUUUCAAUUCCACUAAGAUCACAGAAGAUACUAUUGUCUAUAAGAAUAUGCUUUAGAACUCCUUCUCUUUUAAUAAGAUUCACUUGACAACCAGAAUCGACAAGGAAGGUAGCAGACCCAUUGCAGAAAACUUGAUGAGGUAAUGUCAGUAUGGGUAGUCGACCAAUUCUUUCCGUAUUUAAUUUAAGACAGACUGAUGAGAUUUGG